rnacentral:rRNA from 1 species
UACGAAGGGUGCAAGCGUUACUCGGAAUUACUGGGCGUAAAGCGUGCGUAGGUGGUUCGUUAAGUCUGUCGUGAAAGCCCCGGGCUCAACCUGGGAAUGGCGAUGGAUACUGGCGGGCUAGAGUGCGGUAGAGGAGAGUGGAAUUCCCGGUGUAGCAGUGAAAUGCGUAGAGAUCGGGAGGAACACCAGUGGCGAAGGCGACUACCUGGCCUGUUCUUGACGCUGAGGCGCGAAAGCUAGGGGAGCAAACGGG